rnacentral:rRNA from 1 species
UACGUAGGGUGCGAGCGUUAAUCGGAAUUACUGGGCGUAAAGCGUGCGCAGGCGGUUCGUUGUGUCGGCGGUGAAAGCCCCGGGCUUAACCUGGGAAUGGCCGUUGAAACUGGCGAACUGGAGUGUGGCAGGGGGGGGUGGAAUUCCGCGUGUAGCAGUGAAAUGCGUAGAGAUGCGGAGGAACACCGAUGGCGAAGGCAGCCCCCUGGGCUAACACUGACGCUCAGGCACGAAAGCGUGGGGAGCAAACAGG